rnacentral:lncRNA from 1 species
AGAAUGUCAGCAGCGUAUCUUUUUUGAACUGGGAUUACAUAAACGGUUACAUUCUAUUAUCUUACGCUACAAAAUGUUUUAUUUUCAAUGAACCCCCAAAUUUGGAACGUUCCAUGAAAGGCCAAUUUUAGGUAAAAUGGGGCCUUAUGCUGAUUUUGAUCAUUGAACGUGUUGCAGUAUAUAUUAGUAGCAAUAAUCCUAUUGACUGGGGAUUAUGGUCCCUCUUGUGCUGGUAAUCCUGCAAUUUCCUUGAGAGGUUUCCACAUGAACUUCCUCCUGCACCAUGUAUAGAUUAAUAAAUUAAUAGCGAAUAAAGAUUACAAACGUCCCUAUAAAACAUUGUGAUUUCUUUCUCUUUAAAGGAGAUUAAAGCCUUGCUUAAAAAAAAAAAUAUCUGGAGGUAUAAACAGAGCGAUUAAGGUGGAUUAGUUUACCAGUUUCCACAUUCUGCAAUCACUCUGACUCUAGGCCUCAAAGUAGGAAGUAAUGCAAGAAACUGCAGUUCAGCCUUUGACAAAACCUAGAAGAUCCAAGCCAAUUAAUAACUUUAACUGAAAAUUCAUCAAAUAAUUGGAGUCUUAACUAUCAAGAGCAAAAGAUUUUCUGUUCACCUUUGCUUCAAUUAUCCAAACCACAAGUCCUUUGGCAUUUGGUGGAAGUAACGAGAGCCUAUAAUCAACUUCUGGUGGGAAAUACCACCUAGCAAUUGGCUGCUUCCCUACAUGCGGCUGCAACAUUAUUGUAUUUCCAAGAAUUCCAAUUAUAUUAAAAUCUCAUCCACACUAAAUUAAAAUGUCAACAAUAAAAAAGAAAAAAGAAGAGGAAAUUGUAAACUAAAACAAGGGUCAAGACUAUAAGUUUUGCCCUUUUUGGGACUCAAGCUAACAAUACAUUUUCUUUUCAACCAAUCAGUGUUAAAUUAAAAAAGAAAAAAGGGCUUACCGGACAAACAGGGUGAAAUUUAGUGAGAGUGGUCUCAGGAUCACCAAGUCCACGAGCGGUGAGGUCCAAGAAAUAAUAGCCUUGAUAUCUUAGCCUGUUGAGGUAGCGACCCUCAUAGCCACCCUCAUGGGGAGAGUAGAUAGCUAAGGCUUUGUGCUCUUCAACAUCUGAUAACCAUUGGCCUAAAUCAAACUUGAGAAGAUCGCCUCCAAUGAAGUCCUCUAGACUAACAUUACAUGCAACAUUUGUCUUCCUACAGUGCCCUCCACCACCUCCAAUGCAUGUCUGCUUUCCGCUCAUAUUCAAUG